AGGGUAUUAAUUUAAUGGUAAAAUGAGAUACUACGGAUGUCUUUUUCAUAGUUCGAAUCUAUGAUACCCUG
rnacentral:tRNA from 1 species